AGAUUAAGUUAUUAAGGGCGCACGGUGGAUGCCUUGGCACUAGAAGCCGAUGAAGGACGUUACUAACGACGAUAUGCUUUGGGGAGCUGUAAGUAAGCUUUGAUCCAGAGAUUUCCGAAUGGGGAAACCCAGCAUGAGUUAUGUCAUGUUAUCGAUAUGUGAAUACAUAGCAUAUCAGAAGGCACACCCGGAGAACUGAAACAUCUUAGUACCCGGAGGAAGAGAAAGAAAAUUCGAUUCCCUUAGUAGCGGCGAGCGAAACGGGAAGAGCCCAAACCAACAAGCUUGCUUGUUGGGGUUGUAGGACACUCUAUACGGAGUUACAAAGGACGACAUUAGACGAAUCAUCUGGAAAGAUGAAUCAAAGAAGGUAAUAAUCCUGUAGUCGAAAAUGUUGUCUCUCUUGAGUGGAUCCUGAGUACGACGGAGCACGUGAAAUUCCGUCGGAAUCUGGGAGGACCAUCUCCUAAGGCUAAAUACUCUCUAGUGACCGAUAGUGAACCAGUACCGUGAGGGAAAGGUGAAAAGCACCCCGGAAGGGGAGUGAAAUAGAACCUGAAACCGUGUGCUUACAAGUAGUCAGAGCCCGUUAAUGGGUGAUGGCGUGCCUUUUGUAGAAUGAACCGGCGAGUUACGAUUUGAUGCAAGGUUAAGCAGUAAAUGUGGAGCCGUAGCGAAAGCGAGUCUGAAUAGGGCGUUUAGUAUUUGGUCGUAGACCCGAAACUAGGUGAUCUACCCUUGGUCAGGUUGAAGUUCAGGUAACACUGAAUGGAGGACCGAACCGACUUACGUUGAAAAGUGAGCGGAUGAACUGAGGGUAGCGGAGAAAUUCCAAUCGAACCUGGAGAUAGCUGGUUCUCUCCGAAAUAGCUUUAGGGCUAGCCUCAAGUGAUGAUUAUUGGAGGUAGAGCACUGUUUGGACGAGGGGCCCCUCUCGGGUUACCGAAUUCAGACAAACUCCGAAUGCCAAUUAAUUUAACUUGGGAGUCAGAACAUGGGUGAUAAGGUCCGUGUUCGAAAGGGAAACAGCCCAGACCACCAGCUAAGGUCCCAAAAUAUAUGUUAAGUGGAAAAGGAUGUGGCGUUGCCCAGACAACUAGGAUGUUGGCUUAGAAGCAGCCAUCAUUUAAAGAGUGCGUAAUAGCUCACUAGUCGAGUGACACUGCGCCGAAAAUGUACCGGGGCUAAACAUAUUACCGAAGCUGUGGAUUGUCCUUUGGACAAUGGUAGGAGAGCGUUCUAAGGGCGUUGAAGCAUGAUCGUAAGGACAUGUGGAGCGCUUAGAAGUGAGAAUGCCGGUGUGAGUAGCGAAAGACGGGUGAGAAUCCCGUCCACCGAUUGACUAAGGUUUCCAGAGGAAGGCUCGUCCGCUCUGGGUUAGUCGGGUCCUAAGCUGAGGCCGACAGGCGUAGGAGAUGGAUAACAGGUUGAUAUUCCUGUACCACCUAUAAUCGUUUUAAUCGAUGGGGGGACGCAGUAGGAUAGGCGAAGCGUGCGAUUGGAUUGCACGUCUAAGCAGUAAGGCUGAGUAUUAGGCAAAUCCGGUACUCGUUAAGGCUGAGCUGUGAUGGGGAGAAGACAUUGUGUCUUCGAGUCGUUGAUUUCACACUGCCGAGAAAAGCCUCUAGAUAGAAAAUAGGUGCCCGUACCGCAAACCGACACAGGUAGUCAAGAUGAGAAUUCUAAGGUGAGCGAGCGAACUCUCGUUAAGGAACUCGGCAAAAUGACCCCGUAACUUCGGGAGAAGGGGUGCUCUUUAGGGUUAACGCCCAGAAGAGCCGCAGUGAAUAGGCCCAAGCGACUGUUUAUCAAAAACACAGGUCUCUGCUAAACCGUAAGGUGAUGUAUAGGGGCUGACGCCUGCCCGGUGCUGGAAGGUUAAGAGGAGUGGUUAGCUUCUGCGAAGCUACGAAUCGAAGCCCCAGUAAACGGCGGCCGUAACUAUAACGGUCCUAAGGUAGCGAAAUUCCUUGUCGGGUAAGUUCCGACCCGCACGAAAGGCGUAACGAUUUGGGCACUGUCUCAACGAGAGACUCGGUGAAAUCAUAGUACCUGUGAAGAUGCAGGUUACCCGCGACAGGACGGAAAGACCCCGUGGAGCUUUACUGUAGCCUGAUAUUGAAAUUCGGCACAGCUUGUACAGGAUAGGUAGGAGCCUUUGAAACGUGAGCGCUAGCUUACGUGGAGGCGCUGGUGGGAUACUACCCUAGCUGUGUUGGCUUUCUAACCCGCACCACUUAUCGUGGUGGGAGACAGUGUCAGGCGGGCAGUUUGACUGGGGCGGUCGCCUCCUAAAAGGUAACGGAGGCGCUCAAAGGUUCCCUCAGAAUGGUUGGAAAUCAUUCAUAGAGUGUAAAGGCAUAAGGGAGCUUGACUGCGAGACCUACAAGUCGAGCAGGGUCGAAAGACGGACUUAGUGAUCCGGUGGUUCCGCAUGGAAGGGCCAUCGCUCAACGGAUAAAAGCUACCCCGGGGAUAACAGGCUUAUCUCCCCCAAGAGUUCACAUCGACGGGGAGGUUUGGCACCUCGAUGUCGGCUCAUCGCAUCCUGGGGCUGUAGUCGGUCCCAAGGGUUGGGCUGUUCGCCCAUUAAAGCGGUACGCGAGCUGGGUUCAGAACGUCGUGAGACAGUUCGGUCCCUAUCCGUCGUGGGCGUAGGAAAUUUGAGAGGAGCUGUCCUUAGUACGAGAGGACCGGGAUGGACAUACCUCUGGUGUACCAGUUGUCGUGCCAACGGCAUAGCUGGGUAGCUAUGUGUGGACGGGAUAAGUGCUGAAAGCAUCUAAGCAUGAAGCCCCCCUCAAGAUGAGAUUUCCCAACUUCGGUUAUAAGAUCCCUCAAAGAUGAUGAGGUUAAUAGGUUCGAGGUGGAAGCAUGGUGACAUGUGGAGCUGACGAAUACUAAUCGAUCGAAGACUUAAUCAAAUU
rnacentral:rRNA from 1 species